GAAAUGCGAUAAGUAAUGUGAAUUGCAGAAUUCAGUGAAUCAUCGAAUCUUUGGACGCACCUUGCGCUCCUUGGUAUUCCUUGGAGCAUGCCUGUUUGAGUAUCAUGAAAUCUUCAAAGUAAAUCUUUUGUUAACUCAAUUGGUUUCUACUUUGGUAUUGGAGGUCUUUGCAGCUUCACACCUGCUCCUCUUUGUUCAUUAGCUGGAUCUCAGUGUUAUGCUUGGUUCCACUCGGCGUGAUAAGUUAUCUAUCGCUGAGGACACUGUAAAAGGUGGCCAAGGUAAAUGCAGAUGAACCGCUUCUAAUAGUCCAUUGACUUGGACAAUACUUUUAUGAUCUGAUCUCGAAUCAGGUAGGACUACCCGCUGAACUUAAGC
rnacentral:misc_RNA from 1 species